UUCCGGUUGAUCCUGCCGGAGGUCAUUGCUAUCGGAGUCCGAUUUAGCCAUGCUAGUCGUGCGAGUUCAGACUCGCGGCAUAUAGCUCAGUAACACGUGGUCAAGCUACCCUACAGAGAACGAUAUCCUCGGGAAACUGAGGCCAAUAGUUCAUAAGGUUCCUAGGCUGGAGUGCCGGGAACUGGAAACGUUCCGACGCUGUAGGAUGCGGCUGCGGUCGAUUAGGUAGACGGUGGGGUAACGGCCCACCGUGCCGAUAAUCGGUACGGGUUGUGAGAGCAAGAGCCCGGAGACGGAAUCUGAGACAAGAUUCCGGGCCCUACGGGGCGCAGCAGGCGCGAAACCUUUACACUGCACGCAAGUGCGAUAAGGGGACUCCGAGUGCGAGGGCAUAUAGUCCUCGCUUUUCUGUACCGUAGGAAGGUACAGGAAUAAGAGCUGGGCAAGACCGGUGCCAGCCGCCGCGGUAAUACCGGCAGCUCAAGUGAUGACCGAUUUUAUUGGGCCUAAAGCGUCCGUAGCUGGCCAAGCAAGUCUGUCGGGAAAUCCAUCCGCUCAACGGAUGGGCGUCCGGCGGAAACUCCUUGGCUUGGGACCGGAAGGCUCGAGGGGUACGUCUGGGGUAGGAGUGAAAUCCCGUAAUCCUGGACGGACCACCGAUGGCGAAAGCACCUCGAGAAGACGGAUCCGACAGUGAGGGACGAAAGCUAGGGUCUCGAACCGGAUUAGAUACCCGGGUAGUCCUAGCCGUAAACGAUGUUCGCUAGGUGUGGCACAGGCUACGAGCCUGUGCUGUGCCGUAGGGAAGCCGAGAAGCGAACCGCCUGGGAAGUACGUCCGCAAGGAUGAAACUUAAAGGAAUUGGCGGGGGAGCACUACAACCGGAGGAGCCUGCGGUUUAAUUGGACUCAACGCCGGU
rnacentral:rRNA from 1 species